GGGUCAGUAGGUUGGUCGUGCCACCGGUACGUACUGGUCUCACUGAUUCCUCCUUCCUGAAGAACCGUAAUGCCAUUAAUUUGGUGUUGCGGGGAAACAGGACUGUUACUUUGAAAAAAUUAGAGUGUUUAAAGCAAGCGAACGCUUGAAUACAUUAGCAUGGAAUAAUGAAAUAGGACGAUCGAUCCUAUUUUGUUGGUUUCUAGGAUUGACGUA
rnacentral:rRNA from 1 species